CGUUAUCCGGAAUUAUUGGGCGUAAAGAGCUCGUAGGCGGUUUGUCGCGUCUGCCGUGAAAGUCCGGGGCUCAACUCCGGAUCUGCGGUGGGUAAGGGCAGACUAGAGUGCAGUAGGGGAGACUGGAAUUCCUGGUGUAGCGGUGAAAUGCGCAGAUAUCAGGAGGAACACCGAUGGCGAAGGCAGGUCUCUGGGCUGUAACUGACGCUGAGGAGCGAAAGCAUGGGGAGCGAACAGG
rnacentral:rRNA from 1 species